rnacentral:ncRNA from 2 species
GUAACAAUGCGAGCGCCAGAACUGCCGUUUUAUGGUAGUUGACGAGGGAGAGGUUAAUCGAAAGUUUCAUUCGGCGGAUGCCUCUCGGCGGACCACGGUCGUAAUGGUAUCUACAAAACCGGAGAGCGACCCCCGGGACAAAGCGGUACCAAAGUGGCAAA